rnacentral:rRNA from 1 species
CAGUAGCCACGGGAAGACGAACCGUGCAAACGUUACUCGGAAUCACUGGGCUUAAAGCGCACGUAGGCGGUCCGCUAAGACAGAUGUGGAAUCCCCGGGCUUAACCUGGGAACUGCAUUUGUGACUGGCGGGCUAGAGUAUGGCAGAGGGGGGUAGAGUUCCACGUGUAGCAGUGAAAUGCGUAGAGAUGUGGAGGAAUACCGAUGGCGAAGGCAGCCCCCUGGGCCAAUACUGACGCUCAUGCACGAAAGCGUGGGAAGCAAACAGGAUUAGAUACCCCGGUAGUCCCUGUCUCUUAUAA